CGGGAUUGGGCAGCCCCUCCCUCUCUAGUGAAAAUAUCUCCUAUCUCUUCUCUCCCCAUUCCUCUUCUCUGGCCGCCGCCUCCGCUUCCCUCCUCCCUCUCGGCCGCCUUGUCUCCUCCGCCGCCGCCACGUCCUCCUCCCCUGCCACCACCCUCUCCAUCCCUGCCUCUCCUCCUCCCCUGCCUCCGCGCACCCGGCAACACGGCCAGACCGAUGGAUUGGGUAGGCGAAGAGGAGUGGAAGAUCCGCCUCUUGGGCGGUUGUGCUCUUCUUUGUUGAGAACUUGCCGCCUGUUGUGGCCGCGUCGCUGCCGUUCUUGCGCCGCCGCUGCUGCCGUGGACAGCUUGGCUUAAGGCGAGCAGGGAGGCAUGAUCUUCUUGGUGGGUGUGGAGGAGCAGGGGAGGAUGAGGAGAAUGGCAGUGAGGGAAGGAACAGCGAGGCUGGAGUUCCAAACGGUGCUGGCCAUGGUACCUGUCCCCAAUCUAGGUUGCCAAUAUGCAGCCUCCUUGAUUUAUGUUUUUUAAACACACAUGUGCAGACCUGAGGAAAAAGAGAAGAGGGUGAAUCUUGAUGAAAAGUUUGAACAAAGUGAUCUCUCCCUCUCUCUUGAACACUACUAUCACGUUCAUAUGUUCUGCAUAAGGCUAUCUUAUUUGGUGUGCAAGAGAGUAUUUAUAGUUAGAAUAUUACAUUCUCAUGUCUUAUAUAAAAUCUUCUUCUUUGAACAAUGUUCUUUAAUUUCUAGAUUUGUUGCAGGUUCGAAGAUAUAAAUCAAAUUGAUAUAUUGUCGAUGGGGAUUAAGUACUGUAAUGAUAUACCUGAGAAUAUUGAUGAUAUAUCUGCUACCAGGUUGAAUAUUGACCAAAAAUUAAUUUGUGUGUGUGCUUCUGCUCAUUUAAGUACAUAAUUUGGUCACAAACCUCCUGCUGUAGCUACAAAGUUCAUUGUGUGAUGCCUACAAGUUAUUGAUCUUGUUUUUGGUGUAAAGCUGUAGGCCGAGUUCAGAUUGUUCUUUUGACGGAAAUGGAACAGGUAAUGCUACAGCCUAAGCAUUGUAUAGUAUAAAUUUCAUAAAAGGUCAUGUAACAUUUUACUUAGGUUCAUUCAAAUAUCUGGAAUUGACAUGCAUAUGUUUCUUGUAUGUGCACACGUUGUUGGUUGUAUCUUAAUAUGAGUUCUUUAUGUUGCUUGCCUAAA